GAUCCUGGCUCAGGGUGAACGCUGGCGGCGUGCCUAACACAUGCAAGUCGAACGGACUUACAUUGAAGCCUAGCGAUAUGUAAGUUAGUGGCGGACGGGUGAGUAACGCGUGGGUAACCUGCCUUGUACUGGGGGACAACAGUUGGAAACGACUGCUAAUACCGCAUAAGCGCACAGCUUCGCAUGAAGCAGUGUGAAAAACUCCGGUGGUACAAGAUGGACCCGCGUCUGAUUAGCUGG
rnacentral:rRNA from 1 species